rnacentral:rRNA from 1 species
GUCCACGCCUAACGAUGUCAACUGGUUGUUGGACGGCUUGCUGUUCAGUAACGAAGCUAACGCGUGAAGUUGACCGCCUGGGAGUACGGCCGCAAGGUUGAACUCAAAGGAAUUGACGGGACCCGCACAAGCGGUGGAUGAUGUGGUUUAAUUCGAUGCAACGCGAAACCUUACCUACCCUUGACAUGUCUAGAAGUUUCCAGAGAUGGAUUCGUGCUCGAAGAGAACUAGAACACAGGUGCUGCAUGGCCGUCGU